rnacentral:rRNA from 1 species
GAUCAUGGCUCAGGAUGAACGCUGGCGGCGUGCCUAACACAUGCAAGUCGAACGGAGAUUACAGACGUAAGUUUUCGGAUGGAAGUUUGUAAUUCUUAGUGGCGGACGGGUGAGUAACGCGUGGGCAACCUGCCCUAUACAGGGGGAUAGCAGCUGGAAACGGCUGGUAAGACCGCAUAAGUCGGCGGAACCGCAUGGUUUUGUCGGGAAAUGAGCAAUCAGGUAUAGGAUGGGCCCGCGUCCGAUUAG